rnacentral:misc_RNA from 1 species
AAGUCGUAACAAGGUUUCCGUAGGUGAACCUGCGGAAGGAUCAUCAACACGUAUCCAACGUUAAACCCCCCGUGCAUCUUUAGAGAGCUCUUGUAAGCCCAUGACAGCAAUCCUGGUAAAUCAGUGGCGAAAGUAGUCUUGCUUCAGGACCUCUGUCUGGUGAGAACCUCUUUUAUCGUCAGUCUGGAGUCCUGGCCGGGCGAAUGAAAGUGUCGCUGGACGGUUUCUAGGUAAGCUUCGCCAUCACUGGAGGCUCAACACGGGCCGGUGCACAGACUGCAGGGUCCCCAUACCCUUUAUGACGAGUUAAAUAAGGCCUCUACAUAUCAAGUGCGCGUGGUAGAGGAAAACGUACAACUGUUAACAAGUUCUC